UUAAGCUAAGAAGAGCGUAGGGAGAAUGCCUUGGCAUUAGGAGCCGACGAAGGACGUGAUAAGCUGCGAUAAGCUGCGGGGAUCAGCAAGUAUGAAUUGAUCCGCAGAUUUCCGAAUGGAGCAAUCCGUAUGUGUAUGCACAUACAUCAUAUACUGAAUCAAAUAGGUAUAUGAGGGGAACCGCCUGAACUGAAACAUCUAAGUAGGGCGAGGAAGAGAAAUCAACCGAGAUUCUGUGAGUAGUGGCGAGCGAAAGCGGAAGAGGCUAAACCAUAGGUAGCAAUACUUAUGGGGUUUCGGACAGCAUUUAGUAUUGAUAAUUUCUAGUUGAAACGUGUGGGAAAACGUACCGAAGAGUGUGAGAGUCACGUAAGCGAAAGAGAAAGUCAGCGAGCUGUAUCCAAAGUACCGCGGGACACGUGAAACCCCGUGGGAAGAUGGGGGGACCAUCCUCCAAGCCUAAAUACUACCUAAUGACCGAUAGCGAAUAGUACUGUGAAGGAACGGUGAAAAGAACCCCGGGAGGGGAGUGAAAAAGAACCUGAAACCCUAUGCUUACAAGCACCGAGAGCACGUCAAAGUGUGAUCGGGUACCUUUUGUAGAAUGGUCCGGCGAGUUAUUGUAUGCGGCAAGGUUAAGUGCUUAAGGCACGGAGCCGAAGCGAGAGCAAGUCUGAAUAGGGCGAAUAAGUCGUAUGCAAUAGACCCGAAACCGAGUGACCUAUCCAUGUCCAGGCUGAAGUGGAGGUAAAACUCCAUGGAGGGCCGAACACACGUCCGUUGAAAAGGCCGGUGAUGAGGUGUGGAUAGCGGAGAAAUUCCAAUCGAACUCGGAUAUAGCUGGUUCUCUCCGAAAUAGCUUUAGGGCUAGCCUCGUGAAAGAUUACUGGAGGUAAAGCACUGAAUGGGCUAGGGGUCGAAAGAUUACUGAACCCUAUCAAACUAAGAAUGCCAGAUAAUUGAUUCACGGGAGUCAGACAAUGUGAGAUAAGUCUCAUUGUCAAAAGGGAAACAGCCCAGACCCACAGCUAAGGUCCCUAAACAUUGUUAAGUGGAAAAGGAUGUGGGGUUGCAUAAACAACCAGGAUGUUGGCUUAGAAGCAGCCACUCAUUAAAAGAGUGCGUAAUAGCUCACUGGUCGAGUGACCCUGCGCCGAAAAUUCAACGGGGCUAAACAAUGUACCGAAGCUUGGGAUUCUAAAGUAAUUUAGAGUGGUAGGAGAGCGUCGAAUAAGGGGUGAAGUCAGAGCGGAAGCGCUGGUGGACUUUAUUCGAGUGAGAAUGCCGGAAUGAGUAGCGAGAAUUAUGUGAGAAUCAUAAUGGCCGAAAAUCUAAGGUUUCCUGAGGAAGGUUCGUCCGCUCAGGGUAAGCCGGGGGCUAAGGCGAGGCGGAGACGCGUAGCCGAUGCACAUACGGUUGAAAUUCCGUAGCCACCGAAAGAUUUAAGUACAGGGACGCUUUAGAAGUGAUGUUGCCGGGCGAUGGUUGACCCGGUCGUAAGGGAUCGAAAAUGAGUAGAGAAGUCAUCAUGGAAAGAGACAAGAAAAGCUGUAUGAAUAUCUUAGGUGCCCGUACCGCAAACCGACACAGGUAGAUAGGAAGAAGAUUCUAAGGCCAACGGGAGAAGGGUUGUUAAGGAACUCGGCAAGUUGACCCCGUAACUUAGGGAUAAGGGGUGCUCAAGUGAUUGAGCCGCAGAGAAUAGGCCCAGGCGACUGUUUAGCAAAAACACAGGUCUCUGCUAAAUCGAAAGAUGACGUAUAGGGGCUGACACCUGCCCGGUGCCGGAAGGUUAAGAGGAGAUGUGAGAGCAUUGAAUUGAAGCCCCGGUAAACGGCGGCCGUAACUAUAACGGUCCUAAGGUAGCGAAAUUCCUUGUCAGGUAA
rnacentral:rRNA from 1 species